CUGACAGUUCCCUGCAGGGAGAGCUCAGCACAUGUCCACAGAGGCAAUCCCAGCAUCUGCAAGAAAGAAAGAAGCAGCAAAAGACUGCCUCUGCCGUGGGGUUUUCUCCAGGAGAAGCCAAGGAAUUGCUCAUGGAAGGGUGCAGAUUAAGUUAUCCCAAGGGGAAGUAAAGAAUAAAUAUCUCAUUUUUCCAUCAAAAUGCUCA